CAGAAAUCACAGAACCAGAACUCUGCCAAAUGAAAAAUUCGAAUUCUACCACACGAUUUGACUCCUGUUCUCAAAGACAUUAUGAUGGAUGCCAAAAAACAGGUGAGUUUUCUAAUUUGAAGAUUACUCUCGAAGCCAGAAUAAACUCCAAUGCAAAUGAGUUGAAGAUGAGAAGAAGACAAUUGCUGCUUUUCGUCCUGUUCCUUUUGGGAGAGACACGUUUGUUGUAAUUCAGGAAAACGUUCAAACGUGCCCCAUAUUGAUUGUGAACUACAACUCUUUUAAAAAAAAAAUAACUGAACAAC